AACAACUUACCACUCAGUAAAAAUCUGAAAAGAAGAUAUUACUUUGACUAAAAUGGUCCCUUAAGUUUGAGGAUGUUAAAAUAGUGGUUAUAUUAGACUAUUAUUAAACAGUUUUCAUCACUUAUAUAUAGCUCUAUCCAAAAGCUCGCAUUAUAUGCACAACCGGCAGUGGUUUUGGGAGCUCUGGCUGGAUUUAGCUGGUUAUCGAUCGGUUCAGUUCAGGCACAAUAUUAGCAGGCUUGUUCCUCCUCCCUGUCCUUUCUUCUUUGAUUUUGCAAAUUUAAUUCGUAUUGAGGCUUAGAAAUUGGUAGCAAUUAGAUUAAUUUUGUAUUUUGAAUAUAGACCGAGAUUAAGGGAAGUAGAUGAGCCUGUAUCAGGAAUUUAUAGCCUUUUUUGGCCAAGCUUCUCCAAUACCAAAAUACUUUUUCUUUUAUUUUUCAAAGUUGAUUUGUUUGGCCGAGUUUCUAGAAAAAAAAAAUAUUUUUGAUUAUAAGCAAACAUUUUUUGAGAAAUAGAAAAAAAUAGCUCUCGCCAACAACUUUUAGAAAAGCGCUUUUGAGAAAAAUAUAGAAGUAGUUUCUAAAAGUAUGAUCAAACACUAAUUGUUGUUGUUUAUUAGCCAAACGCAAAGUGUUUUUCACCGAAAAAGUACUCUUUUUUAAAGCACCUUAAGAAAAAAAAAAAAACUUUUCAAGAUAAGCUAAUUUUAGAAGUUUGGCCAAGCAUGACUAUUAAUCUGCUGGAAUUUGUACUUAUCCAAAAUAGAACUAAUUUGGCAAUGUAUCAUGGGAAAAUGUUUAUUUGAUGCCAAAUGAGUUGAAGGCUUAUUAUCCUCACAGUUUUAGUUCAACCAUCAACGGAACAACUCGGGACCUGGUAUUUAAGUGGAGAAAAAUAGAGUGACUGGUUCAUUAUCUAGCGAGUCUCAAAACAAGAAACAACAAAUUUCUCGAUUAUAAAAACAAAGAGUUAAAAGUCUGUUGAAAUAAAUGAACUCUUCAGUAGCUUAUCAAUGGCAUGAUAAUCAUGUGCCAUCAAUUAAAAUAAAUGAUUGUGGAAAAAAGAAAGAGAGAAAACUUACCAUUCACUGUUUCAUUUCUUAGUUCAAACAGAGCAUAAUAAAAGUUAUGUAGACAAGGGAAAAGUGAGUCUCGUGUUACUUUUCAUGGUAAGUGAAAUGUAUGAAGUUCCAAACGGUGGAUAUUGAUCUGGACAUCAACUUAGGAAGGAGAAGAUACUUCAUUUUUAGUUGUACAGCAAUAAUGUUUAUUCAUGGCUGGUAGCUUUGUCAGUAUACAAUUCAAGACAAUCUUAAGUAACUCUCAUAAUUUAAAAGUCUUGAUAUAGAUAAAUCUAAACUAUAUUUAGAGAUUGGACGUGAUCUGCUGCUCAUAUACUGAAAUCCUAAACAACGUCUUACCUCGAAGUUUCACUAUUUCUUUUAACGUUCACAUUACUCUUGUUCAUAAUUGAGGUGAUACUGAUCUAGCUAAUUUUCAUGAACCAGAAAAUUGCCAACUUGUUGAACUCCUCUUAUCAUUAAAAUCUAUGUUUGUACUUGGGCAUAAAAGUUGUUGAAUUCCCAUUAUGUAUUGAAAUGACCUUUGAUCUUCAAUGAACCAGAAAAUUCCCAACUUGUUGAACUCUUCUUAUCCUUAAAAUUUAUGUUCCUACUUGUACAUAAAAGUUAUUGGAUUCCCACUAUGUAUUAGAAUGACCUUUCGAAUUGUUUGGUUUAAGAAACAAUUCGACGUGGAAAUCGCCCCAUAUAAUCGGUAUGCAGUGAGGUAAUAUAAUUUUAUCACUGCUUUGUUAUAUGUCCAACAUUGUGAGACAAUCAUUCUGCCAAAAGUCUGGGUUUAAAUUCUGCAUGGUCUUUUCUCAAUCUUUUCUUGAUAUUUCAAUUAAUACAUGUAAAGAGUGUCAAGGCAACAAUUGCACCCAAGGGUGUCACUUAGUGGUCAAUGAAGUGGGAUGAAAUUCAUGAAAGGCUAUGGUGCAAAUUGCAGUUGAGGAAAAACACUAGGUGAUUCUUCUCAUCGUUAAGCCUUGGCAGGCAAAGUUACACGGUAUAUGUGCAGGUGGGAGUAGGGUCGGCUCAACAGAUCUUGUGGCAUAAGGCGAAACCAUAUUCAGAGGCCCUUAAAUGUAUUUUAUAAAAUAUUUACGCUAACAACAAAAUUUACUUUUUAAAUAACAAAUAAAUCAUUUAAGACAAAAAAACGAAUUUCAAAAAAAAUUAGGAAAAAGAGCACAAAAAAUAAAACGGUGGACUAUCGAAUAUUGAGAUCCAAAACUAAGUGAAAAUUUUGAUUCGGCUAUCAUCACAAACAAGAAAAAAAUAAAAUAAACGUACAUAACGUAAUAACUUAAGUUUUGAGUAUUGACGGUGUAAAAAAUAUUUACUCCAUCUGAUCAAUUUAAACGGUGAUUGUGUUCAUUCUAUUAAGUAGCACUUAUUGGUGAAUAUCUAAAAUAAAUUGCAAAUAACCUAAUAUAGUAUGUCGAAUUACACUAAAAGAAAAUUGGUGCAUGGGUGCUUUUGUGUUCAUGUUGUUUCAGAGAACAUUAUAAAAGAAAUUUAUUAUGUUGUCGAUAUACAUAACUUAAUUCCUAUAUAUAAAAGAUAAAAUUAAAAUUGAAGAGUGAAGCAAAUAUACUAAUUAAUGAGCGAAGAAAAUUUCAUAAUUUAUAAAUUUAUUGUAUAAAAUAACCUCAAUCAAGUAACAAAAAAUAUACUGUAACACUUUUCUUUAUUCUAAUUAUUUAUAUAAAUUAUAUAGUAUAUAAUAGUAACAAUAAUAAUAAGAAUUUAAAAUAAAUUUGGGGGCCUUCAAAAUUUGGGGGCCUAAGGCAAUGGCCUCACCCUAAAGCCUUAGAACCGCCCCUGGGUGGGAGGUAUCAUGUCCUUGGUGAAAUAGUCGAGGCACGUAAACUGUCCCAAACACCGUUGUUAACUAAAACAAAUAGGUGUUGGUGAAGAAUGUGAUUUCUGUUUGAGUAAAACUCUAAUUUACGUGUUCUCUGCAUUUGAACAUGUUGGCAAAUGCCAAUAUAUUCCUCAGUCAGGAGAAGAGUUUGCUUGUCAUAUGACACCUGCUAACAAGUUUUAAUAUCUUCUAUCUGUAGUGUAUAUUAUUCUUCAUAUCAAAGUCAAACAUACAUAAUGAAAGUCAAACUGGUGACAUUUCAAUCCAACUUGGAUGUCAUAGAGCUUAUAUCCUGAUAAGUGCAUUUGAAGAUGCAUAUUUCAAUUCGGGUAUAAAGGUUUAAGUUUAAUGAUAUGCGCUCUUCUAUUACAUCUGGAUGACAUUUCAUUCACACCCCUUCCACACUUUAUCUUGUAGUAAUUUGUUAUUUCAAAACUUAAAUUACACAGAAUUAGGUUUAUGUGCUUGUUACAAUCUUCCUAAUAGGUCGCAUGACUCUGCUUCCGUUUUUUGGUCUCAAAAAAUUGUUAAGUUUCAAUAACCAGUAUCUAACAAGUACUUCUGGUACUUAUGCCAAGUGACAUUUUAGGAAUGCUAAAUAACAUUCAACUUCAUUCUCUAAUUUCCAGCCUUUAUCCAAUACCCUUUUUAGCCAAGCUUCCUUUGAAAUCUGAUAAAUAUCCAGUGAAAUUUUCACCAGAAAGGUUCAUUUGGCAAAAUAGCAACUUGGGCAGUUUAUAUAGUCUGAAUGCAAAGUAACCAUAUGGACUUGGGUGGUAAAGCAAAUAGUAUCCCUUAAGAAAUUGUUUGGUGAUAUUCCAUGCUUUUAUCAUUAUUUAGCAGUCUGAUUAAUAUUGCAUAAUCUGCAUAGCAGGCGCUACUACUUAUAGUUGAAGGAUUGUUCUACUCUCUACGUGUGUGCGUUUGUUUUGUUUUGGGGUGGGGUGGGGGGGAGCGGGGAGCAACAUUGGUAGCUUUUCCAGGGAGAGAAAUUUUGUAUUGAAAUCAAGAAAUUGUAGUACUUAGUAUACAUUAUUCACCAAAAUGGUUAUGUCCAGAUCUUGGCAAUGACCAUGAGCAAAUUAAGAAAGACAUUGCCAAACACAGGAGUUUGGCAAUGUUGAUGCUGACAAUAAACUCCCUAACGGCACAGUUUCAUGAAACAAAUCUGACAAGUAAUUCCCUAUAUUAUCAGGAGAAAAUCUUACUAAGACCUCCAAAUUCUUUUCCCCACUCAAUACUAUCAUAUAGUAAUCAUAGAAAUCUCGAUAAGCAGGUACUAGUUUUCUUGCUAUUGACACUUUGAUCUCGUCUCGUAGCUUUCCAUCUGGAACCACCCAAGAUUUUUGUUUCUGGUAUGAUUCGUCAAAAGCUGUGUUGAAUUUUCUGAAAUGUUCCUUUAUUAUAUCAGGGGAAACUGAUGGAUCCAAACUUUCAGGCAGGCACAAAAACACCUUAUUCCAAGCCACAUUUUCGUAGUUUGUUGCAUAUAGUUUUUCCUUUCUCUCAAGCUUUGAUAUCCAAUCAUCUCCUAGAAGACACUUGAGU
rnacentral:lncRNA from 1 species